GGCGGCGAAUAUCGGGAUCGAACGAAGAAGAAAAACAAAAGACGCAGCGAAAUAACAAACCCCAGGCGCAGAACGUUAAAAAACAUCGAAAGUAAAUGACUAGCAAAAUCGGGAAUGUUAAAUUAAACGCGGAUGUGAAUUAGUUUAAGUGCAAUAGUCCAGUGAUCGCGAUUAAAAGCGUGCUAUCAAUACAGUUAUUCCUAUGGCCGUUUAAUACAGUUAUUUUUUUGCAUAUUUUUUUGUACGCAUAUAAAUUAAUUAAAUGAUAGUUAAUUCGCUGUGCUAGCUGAACAUUUACCCGCAUCUAAACAUAUUAUUAAAUUAUUUUGGAUUAUUUGCUAUAAUCAAUUGACUUGUUGUGCGUGUGUGUCUUAUUUAAUAUUUUUUUUCGUGUUGCGUUAUUUUUGUUGUAGAGUGCAAUUGCCUGUGCGGGGGAAAGAGAGCAGUGCCCGUUGUCUGUGUGUGGUUGUGAGGAAGUUAUAGUUUAAUGUUUUAGCUUCAAUUGUCGAGCAACAACAACAACAACGAAAGAAGAAAAUAAAUAAAAUUAAAAGCAGCAGCAGCAGCACUAACAUCAGCCGCAGCGGCAGCGACAGCAACAACAAGAACAACAACAUGACGAUGCUGAUUGAUGUCACACACACACACGCAUACGCACGCACCCAAGGAGAAUAAACUCUAUCACCUUGAGGGGGACGCUUAUCAAUUAUAUUCUUUUUUUGCCAGCGAACAGAAAAAGAUGUUAUCUUGGCAAACAACAACUUGAAGGAUGAAUCUAGCAAACAUUCUGGCAUCAUAAUCAGUGAAUCAAGUGCAAAUGUAUUGGCAUGUUUUAAUUAAACGAAAUUGCUUGUAUCGCAUUGAUGGCUUAAUAUGGGUCACAUGUACGCCUAUCGGUGUCCUGCCAAACAAAAGUGGCAUUGUAUGUGAGCCAGAGAGUGCUAGGAGCAGGAAGCUGGAAGCAGGGAGCAGGAAGCUGGAAGCUGGGUGAACUGUGUCUGGAAUAUUCACUUAAGUGAACAAGAGGACAUGAUGAAACCUAGAAGCAGGCAAGGAGCAAACAGGAGCUGGCCAAUUAAUUUGGUGACAAUAGGAGACAAGAAGUAGAAGCACAAAUAACGUAUUGCAAAAAUCAAGAAC